AUUUUUAUUUUUCCUUUUCUUUUUCUUUCCUCUUCUUUUCCACGUUUUCUUCUUCCUCCUUCCCUGUUAUUUCCUCCACUCAAACCCCUCAUCGUCCGUCACUAAAGGAAUUUGUACUCUGCCUACAAAAUUUUGGAAGACAAAUUCAAAUUUGUGGGUGGAAUUCACCUUCCCCCCUCCCCCACAAAAAAAAGACAUUUUGUAGGGUUAUAAUUUGUUUCAAAAUUCUCAAUAGUCCAAGACUUGUGCCUACAAAAAUUUGUGUUUUUACUCGACAAAAAAUUUGAUGGGCAAGAUAUAUCGUUUGCCUACAGAAAUAUUUUACAUGUUUGUAGACUAAUAAUUAAUGGAAAAUUUUCGAUUUAAUUUUUAUUUUUAGUCCCUUACAAAAUGUAUAUUUGAAGUGAAAAGAUAAUUUCCAUUUUUUUCCUUUCCUUUUUUUUCCCCUUUCUUGUUUUUUUUCUCCUAUUUUCCUUUUACUUUUUCUUUCUCCCUCCACAUUUUCUUUCUUCUUCUCCCUUCAACUUUCUCUACUCCGACGCGCCACAAGAUUAUUGUCUCACUACCUUCAAUCAGCAAUCAUCCGUCAAUCCCAGUAACCUAAAGAUCCAAGUUAGUGCCAGAGACAACUUAGAGGUAUCAUUAUUGGUUUUUAUUUGUUGGGUUGUUAUGGAUUUUGUUGGGAAAUAUUGUGAAAUGCAAAUUAGGUUAUUUGAUUGUUAUAAAUUCAUUUAUUAGGUUUCUAUCAAUUCAUUUAUUGGUUGCAGUGGAAUAUCUAAGAUCUACAAUAAAGUGAAGGUUCAAACUCCAUUGAAAAUGUUGUGGGUUCUGGUGGCUAAAUUGUUGAAUUUGUUCGUUUGGAUCUUGAGCGUUCUCUUACUUUGACGUUUCUUUACAUUUUAUAGGAAAAGUGGUUACAAAUAUGCUAUCUAGUUCGACUCUAGGAUAAUGAUAAAUUCCUAGGGCUAUCUUUUCUCAUUUCAUUUUCUUUUUGGGUUUAUCAAUUAUGAUUUUUGUAAUGAGGUAAUGAUUUGUAUUAUAUGUGAAGAUUUUAUUUUUACUGUAAUUUUCAGUACGAUGGAUGACAUUUCACUAGAAUGUUAAUGAUUUCAACAUUGAUUUGUUUGAUCGGGUUUGUGUUGUAAAUCUCUAGAUAUAUGAAGAAGCAAAGAAGUUCUCGUAUCAAUCUAGUGUAAAGGUUGUGGUUGCUUAUGGUGGGGCACCAAUUUUCCAGUAGGUUCGAAAUUUUUUACAUCUGAAACUAAAAUUGUUAUGUUGUUUUGACAUUGGCUAUUAAUUUAUCUUAACGUCUUUUGGCUAAAUUCUGAUCAAUGUAUUUGUUGAUUGUAAUGUUAGAAUGGUUUAAGUAGAUUGUUAGAUUGUAAGGUGAUGAAAUUAGAAAGCAGGGACAUGAUGGCUCCAUGGGCUUCUUGACGAGGUAGUUGCCAUGUUUUAGUGAAUUUUUAUAUUUCUUGUAAUGAUAUUUUGUCAUUCUAAGAUACUAUAAGUAACUUCUUCUUUUUUUAGUUUUUUUGACAAUUUCAGUUUUUUUGACAAUUUCAUUAUCUUUGGAAUGUAGUUUCCAUCCUUUCCUACUUGAUUGUCUUCUUGUUGACACGCCAAAAGUGCAGCCCAAAUCGAAUAGCCCAAAGAAUGAAGCCCAACUGGGCAAUUCAGGAUAAAGGCCCAAAUAGGAUUAUUAAUGAAUGCAGUGGAAGCCCACGAAUGCAGUAACACCAUCGCCCAAACUUGCAAGACGCCCAAGAUCUGAGCGAAUGAAGUGCCUUGCAGUCGCCUAGGGUUAUGACCCUGUUCUCGUCCAAACCUUCGAAUCGCCCAAAAUCUUAGCAAAUAUAAGAUGUUAUGAUUAUCCAAAAGUACAGUUAUCGAAGCAGUUAUUAAGUAAUCUUAUCACGUUCCACGAUUGAAGGAUGUUCAGUUGAAAACGGUUGAACGACAAAGAGUAGUGACAGCAGUUAGAGACGGCAGUUCCACGAUAAGUUCGCCAACAUGAAGAAAGUGGGUAGUUAUAAAGCAAUUAAGCGGUUUCUAAGUGGUUGAUCACGAAGAGAUCAUCAAAGGAAUAUAAAAGGAAGAAAAGACAUAGAGCGAAAGGUCCCCGAAUCAAACACUCUCAAACAGAGAAUAUAUAAUUUCAAUUUCUUAGUUUAGACUUAAACAUUUCUUUUUAGUACUCGUGUGCUUGCGCCACUUGGAGGCAUUCUGUUUAGUUCCAAUUGUAAAGUCAUCGCCAAUAAAACAUCCCUUUUUGGGACUUUGUCUCAAGAGGUUUGUUCCUUACAUAAUCGUCUGAUCCCUUUUUAAUUGUUAGCGACCACGCGCGCGAAACACUUCUAUAAUGGAAGUUUCUGUCUCCACUUUCUUGAGUCCUUAGGCAAUUGAGCACAUGUUUAAUUUGUAAGCCAAAGACACUUUUAUUACAUGCAGUUUUCGUCCUUUUUGUUGGUAAAAUUAGUUGAUCAUUACUUAAGGAGGAUAUGGUUUAAGGAAAUCUAUGAUUAUGUUGGUAAAAUUAGUUUAUCAUUAUAUUAUGUCUAUUCAUUAGUGAUGUUCAACUCAUGUCAAGAAGCAAGUUCGUCGUUCCUGUUUUUGUGAAGCUACACAUAUAUACAAUUUUUAGUUAGAUUUAAUUUUUGGUAUGUUGUUUUCUUCACACAUUUUUUGAAUAAAUUUUGACAAAAUGAGUGAAAAUACAUCUAAGUAUAUUACUUAUUUUUGUGAUGUGCAGGGAGUUGAUUAUAUUUGAGAUAGCUAAUUAAAUGUUGAUCAAAGAAGUAAAUUUCUUGAUAUAUGGAAUAAUUAUUUUGUAAUAGUUUAACUAGUUAUUUUGGAAUAGUAAUCUACAUUUUGGCAUAUUGUAUUGAAC
rnacentral:lncRNA from 1 species